rnacentral:sRNA from 1 species
GAUCAUGAAGGGCCCAGCGAAGUGCGU